GCCGCGGCAGGGGCGCUCCGGCGGGGGCCGGCGGGCACCGUCUCCCCCUCCGGGGCUCUGCCCCCCCACCCUCCGCGCCACCGCCUCUCCAGUGACUUUCUGGGAUAUCCACCAUCAGGAAGGAAGUAUUUCCCAGUUUCCAGGUGCUCUUGCCUGUUUACCCAGCUGAGGAAAACCUAAGGCAUAGUAGGAUCUUAUAAUCACUGCCACUUUAUGAAAUGUUUUAAUUACCUAAAUUUCCUAUAGCUUCUUUCACUUUCCAGAUGAUUUAGAGAUGCAAACAAGGCUCCCAGAAGACUUUAUAAAGACUCUGCUCACGACACCACUUAAAUAUGUACAUGACAGCAAGUCAUACUCUUUCUAAUAAUAUCAAAUAUUUAAAAAUAUACAUUAUCUGAGCUUAGACAGUUGAAAUAUAUUGUUAAUGGGUUUUUGCAUUAAAGGCGUGAGGACUAAUGACAGGCGAGGCAGAUCAAACAGAGGUUUUUCCUGACACUCCAGCUCUGAAGAACUCAAAUGUGGAUAAGACUGUUAUGUAAGAUAGGCUUUUGGAUAUCACUGAAGUGCUUUACAAUUAAGACUGAAUAUUAAUAAAAGACUUAAACUGAAAACCUCCAGCUAUUAGAAGGAUUAGGACUUUGCAGUGGGCUAGGGGAAUACAUACAAUGUCAAAGCCUUUUUCUCGGUUGUGAUCAAAGGCAGAAAAGGCUGUGACAGAAACAACAUCUUAGAAGAAGGGGAAUAGAGCUGCAGCAUCACAUAACAAUACUGAUGAUUAAUAAUAGCGAUAAUAACAGCAGCAGCAGCUACUUGUGCAGAAGAAAAAAGACAAAACUUAGGAGUUGAGACUCUUGCUCAGCAAUGUGCCCUCUGACAGAAGGUAUCUGCACAAGAAGAGAAAAGCAUCUGCUCAUUUACACCCCUGUGGCUUAUAUUGGCUGUCCUGGGAAGAGCAUGUGAGAACAGAAUUCCCACUUGGUACUUUUGUCACUCAAUGGUGAUGUCAGCUCUUCACAUCAGAGCAGCGGCCAAGAGAAAUGAGCAUGAAUGUUUACAGGGCUCAAUGCUACAUAAACAAACUGAGGUGUAUUAGAUUUAUUUUCUGGAGAUCGAUAAUAUUUUCCAAAAACAAUAUCUCAAGGAAGUGCCCUAAAGGUUAUUUAUUUUGAGACCCUGGGCCAUUUCUCUGUGAAUCUCAUGGGAACAAUUACUCUGAUAAUUUCACUGUGUUCUACUGAAAUAUCAGGUUGUAAUACACCAUAAUCAGGCAAAUAGUAUUGGCUGCAUUUUGAAUAUAUUUCUUACUUAAAAGGUGUCCUUCUCUUGGAAGAACCUGGAGACUGACCCCCUCUGCCAGUGUGUCAUUCCCACACCAUGACUUCCAGUGCAGGGACUGCCUACAGCAUGUUCCCUCCCAAGGCAUAGCCUUGGCCACCGUGACUGUAAAUGGUUCAGUUGCCCAGGCUCGGGAGCAGGGACACGGCAAAAGCCUUCACUGGGUUAAGCAGAGACAGCUGGAAAUGCGUCACUAAUAAGGAAUAACUUUGAAAGCAGUUUGGGUGCAGAGGGAUUAAGGAAUGCCAGAUGGUAUCAGGAAUAAAAAGAUGCCAUGCGGUGUAACUUCAACAGAAAAGAAGCUACUGAGAUGUUCUGAAGAGCUGAAAGUCUGGAAAUACAGAAGGCAAUUGGGAAAUCAUAAAUUGCAUGUGUAUGUGCUAUGAAUCCAUGUUUAUUUAAAAGCCAUGUAUGCCAGUAAAAAGGAAGACAAUCAGAAGCUUUAUUUUUCUUAAUACUGAAUUUUGAUGCAUUUGAAAUGUUUAAGAGGUUCCAGUCAAUUCUGGCAGUGACUCUUUAGAAAUCCAUAUACAUGAUGAGAUAGUGCACUUCACGUAAAAAUGAAAUGUUAAAACUUAUUUUCUUUAGGCAAAUAAAAAAAAAUAAGGUGAAGCUGAAAAAA